UAUGACAAUUCUGCCAAUGGAAGAAGAGAGCUACAUUUGCGGGGUCUUUGAUGGGCAAGCAUCAGUGCACUGUUCAACAUAUUGAUUGAUAACUUUAGAUUGACCAUCUGUUUAUGAAGGGUAAGAAGAGCUCAUCUUCAGCUGUAUACCUGACAUUUUAAAAAACUCACGCCAUAAAUGACUGAUAAAACUUGGGUCCCGAUCACUCACAGUGGACCGUGGCAUUCCAUGGAGUUUUACCACACCUUCUAUAAAUUUUUCAGCCACCACUUUUGCAGUAUAAGGAUGAGCCCCUAGCAGGAAAUGUGUUGAUUCACUAAGAUGAUUAACUAUCACAAGAAUGGUGUCCUUACCAUUAAGUGAUAUCGUCCCACACUUGGCAUGGAAUUGGCAAUGGUUGUGUAAGACUUGCUGGAGAGAGAGUUUCUAGCUUUGCUUGUUGACAGAUUUCAUAAGAUGAGACAUAUCAUUGUACCAUCCGAUGCAUAAAGGGAGACAUAUCAUUGUACCAUCCGAUGCAUAAAGGGCCAAUAAAACUUUUUGGGGAGCCGUUUGUAAGUUCACAAUACACCUGAAUGUCUGCCAACUUGUGAAUCAUGGAAUGCUUGCAAUAGCUGCUGAAUGAUGUUGGAUCUAGGUGGAAUCAUCACACAGUUCUUAUAAAAAAACAAUUCAUUUCUCCAUGUGCAAGGACUGU
rnacentral:lncRNA from 1 species